rnacentral:RNase_P_RNA from 1 species
GUAGGUUCAUACCUAACUUCCGCAAAUUGUGAGGAAAGUCCACCCACUAAAUAAUCGGUCGCUUUUUUAAAAAAGUUCCAGAAAUGGAAGGCAACCGCUAAAGAAACGGAACGACCUUUUGAAGUUAAGCAAUGAUGUUGCGAAGUUUUUCGCGAGAAAAAUGAGAUAACCAGCUGAGUAUUUAAAAGGAAACGAUGAAACGAGCAUCCCGAUCAAGUGCAAGUCUUAAAGGCGCUUAGUUAAAUGUUAGGACAGUUUCUUCCUUAGGGAAAACUGACAGAAGGUGGCUUAUAUGGACCUAC